rnacentral:rRNA from 1 species
GACGAACGCUGGCGGCGUGCUUAACACAUGCAAGUCGAACGAGUGGCGAACGGGUGAGUAUCACGUGUGUGAUCUGCCUUGCACUUCGGGAUAAGCUUGGGAAACUGGUUCUAAUACCGGAUUGUGCAAGAUGAGCUCGCGGCCUAUCGGCUUGUUGGUGGGGUAAUGGCUACCAAGGCGCGACGGGUAGCCGUCAUGGGAGGGUGUACGGGCACAUUGGGACUGAGAUACGGACCAGAGUCGUACGGGGGGCAGCGGUGGGGAGUAUUGCGCAGUGAGCGGGAGCCUGAUGCAGCGGCGCCGGGUGGGGAAUGAAGGCUUUCGGGUUGUGAACUCCUUUCGACAGGGACGCGGUACCUGUAUAAGAAGCACCGGCUAACUACGUGCCAGCAGCCGCGGUAAUAC